rnacentral:rRNA from 1 species
CCUACGGGUGGCUGCAGUGGGGAAUAUUGGACAAUGGGGGGAACCCUGAUCCAGCGCCGCCGCGUGAGUGAAGAAGUAUUUCGGUAUGUAACGCUCUAUCAGCAGGGAAGAAAGAAAUGACGGUACCUGACUAAGAAGCCCCGGCUAACUACGUGCCAGCAGCCGCGGUAAUACGUAGGAGGCGAGCGUUAUCCGGAAGGACUGGGCGUAAAGGGUGCGUAGGUGGUUUGACAAGUUGGUAGCGUAACUCCGAGGCUCAACCUCGGCACUAUUACCAAAACUGUCGGACUUGAGUGCAGGAGGGGCAAUUGGAAUGCCUAGUGUAGCGGUGGAAUGCGCAGAUAUUAGGAGGAACACCGGUGGCGAAGGCGAAUUGCUGGACUGUAACUGACACUGAGGCACGAAAGCGUGGGGAGCAAACAGGAUUAGAUACCCUUGUAGUC